rnacentral:lncRNA from 1 species
UUUUUUUUUUUAAGAAAUAAAUGAGACGGCCUAUGCUCUCGACUUUGGAUUUGAAAUCAGCAAUAUAACCAUGUCUGAGAAGCUUGAACUCAGGGAUGGCACCCACCUGACAAUACAAGACUCUAUAAACACAUUGGUAAGUUGGAGACAUUUCAGUAGUGUAGUAUUUUACAAACACUUGUUUUCUUCUUCUGUCUCUCUUUUUCAUUUGCCACAUUAACCUCAACAUAUUUAUAAACAAAUUCAUCUAAUUUUUUUCAGCUGGGCAAGAUGCUCCUCAGUAACUCCUCAGCGCCUCUCAUUAAGUUCCAAGCAGCUGAUUUCACGGGUAAUUCCACAGUAAUUAAGGCCAAUGUAGAGUAUGUUUUCUCACCAAGUGACAUCACGCAACCCAGCAUCUUCGAAGUCCUUGAAGAGGUUGAACUGCCUCCAUAAUCGUAUAGGUGUGCUGCUGCACUGUCAACCAUCUGUUACCUCACAGUUUAUAUGGUCAAACUGACAAACAAAUGUUAAACUUCCAUUUUUUGUCAUGUUUUAUAUGUCUUGCUUCAAAAACAACAAAUGCUGUAAUUGAAAGUCUGAUCCUCCGUUAAUUAUUACUUUCGUUUACAGCGAGCACUCUGACAACCACAACUUCACCACCGAUCUUGACUAGGAGGGGAAUUAUUAAGAUUCGUCUCGAGUUUAUCACACUGGGCCCAAGACCAAGUGAGAGUAAUGUUCUACAGGUGGUUAAAUCUAUGCUGGCCUCAAAUCUCACAACUAAACUAACCACGAGAGUAACAAGCGUGAGUGAACCUCUGUCCUUGCAGAAUGUUGAGUAUCUGGGUAUUAAUGACACCGCCUACGCACUCAUUUUUGCAUUUGAAAUAAGCAAAGUAUCACUGACAGAGAUAAAAAGGAAAGAAGCCUAUCAAGAAAUCCAAAAGAAGAUAAAUGAUUUGGUGAUCCAGAUACUAAAGGACCCCUCGGUUAAUCUGCUCAUUCCAGCCGAAUUCAAGGAUGAUCUCUUUGUGAUUGUGGCCAAUGUUACGUAUGUUUUCUCACAACAUGACAGCAACACGGCCUCCGGUUUCUUGGUCAGUGCCCUUUUCACGGCUUUUACCACACCAGUUCCAACCACCAUGAGCGCUACAACCUCCAACAAUGGUACAAACGUAGCAUGGAUUGUGGCUAUCAUUGUCCCCUGUGCUAUUGUCAUCGGGCUCGUACCUUGCUGGAUUCUCCUUUGCGUAAGUAUUAUGUUGACGGAAUGACAAAUAUGUGCAUUUGUUGUGAAGUGAUUAAUGACAACAGGC